GACGAACGCUGGCGGCGUGCUUAACACAUGCAAGUCGAACGGUAAGGCCCUUCGGGUACGACGAGUGGCGAACGGGUGAGUAACACGUGGGUGAUCUGCCCUGCACUUCGGGAUAAGCCUGGGAAACUGGGUCUAAUACCGGAUAGGACCACGGUCUGCAUGGAUUGUGGUGGAAAGCUUUUGCGGUGUGGGAUGGGCCCGCGGCCUAUCAGCUUGUUGGUGGGGUGAUGGCCUACCAAGGCGACGACGGGUAGCCGGCCUGAGAGGGUGUCCGGCCACACUGGGACUGAGAUACGGCCCAGACUCCUACGGGAGGCAGCAGUGGGGAAUAUUGCACAAUGGGCGCAAGCCUGAUGCAGCGACGCCGCGUGAGGGAUGA
rnacentral:rRNA from 1 species